AGUCAGAUAUUCCAGUGGUCAAGAUUUCCGCCUGUCAGUUGGGGAAGGUAGAAGACUAAACAAAGCCUGAAGCUUAAAGCAACAAAACCAAAAAAAAAAGCGCGCGGACGACCGGGGUUCGAUUCCCCGCCUGAGAG